rnacentral:lncRNA from 1 species
ACCCUUGGGAGAGUUGCUAUAGAAUGAAUGUUUGUGUCCCCUCAAAUUCAUAUGCUGAAGCCUAAUUCCCCACAUGAUGUAUCUAACCUACUAGGAGAGAUUUAACAAAGGAUCCCAGAAUUACCUAUGGCUAGAAGUGGUCCCUGAAAACUUGCCCCAGAGCCUUUAAGCUCCCUGGAGGUAUCCACUGGGAGACCCACCUCUGUGAGAUAAUAAAGCCAUUAGAGACAAGCAGGUGAUGGCCAGACCCCAGGAUCCCUGCAGAUAUGACCAGGGCUCAGCCUCUGCCUUACUCCAAACUCGAGUAAGAGUUUUCACCCUUACUCUAAACUUUCUGGGAGGAAUUAAUACUUGAGAGAAACAUCAAUAGACUGGAUCUAAUGAGGUUUGGGGACCUGCACUCUCUGCUCACUGGCUGGGUCCAUCCUGCUGCUGACCAAACAGUCCUGUGGCAAAAAUAUCAGAGGGACUUCAAACGUGCAUGUCAGCUGUUUCUCACUGUUGAUGCAGGAAAUGAAGGAUGCAUCUCACACAGACAGGAUAAAGAGUUCCUUCUAUAGAAACUUGUUCUGGAUAUUUUCUUCCAUGUUUUUGUUGAAUAUCAUUGAAGCAGUCUCUGAUGGACCAAACCUGACCUACAAAAUAUGAAGCUAACAGUUAACAGAGAACCCAAUCUAAUACAUGAAGGGUUUGUGGUGACUGGUAUGUGAACAUAUAUCUAUUAAUCCAAACUUCACCAUCUACCCUGCAAAACAAUUUCCCAGUACAAAAACCCCCGCUAUUAGUAUUUAAACUUCAGAGAACAUAUGUCUCAGUAAAACUUGCCAACAAUCGUUUAUGUGGGAAAUAUCAGUAUUUGUAACUCCAAAAAUCAAUACAACAUGAAAACAAAUUAUAUACAAGGAAAGGUUCAAAU